UGUUAAAAUUUUAAUCUAUUUCUACUGUUAAAAACCGGUAUGGCUAAUAGAAUAACCAAACGAUGACUCAUGAUGUGCCACAUGUACCUCAAACCGAUGUGCAGGGAAUUAGUUUUUAACAGUAGAAUUGGAUGAAAUUUUUAAUA
rfam:Gossypium arboreum cultivar AKA8401 contig_56611_5, whole genome shotgun sequence.